rnacentral:rRNA from 1 species
UGGGGAAUCUUGGACAAUGGGCGCAAGCCUGAUCCAGCCAUGCCGCGUGAGUGAAGAAGGCCUUCGGGUUGUAAAGCUCUUUUGUCAGGGACGAUAAUGACGGUACCUGAAGAAUAAGCCCCGGCAAACUUCGUGCCAGCAGCCGCGGUAAUACGAAGGGGGCUAGCGUUGUUCGGAAUUACUGGGCGUAAAGCGCACGUAGGCUGAUUGUUAAGUCAGGGGUGAAAUCCCGGGGCUCAACCUCGGAACUGCCUUUGAUACUGUUAGUCUCGAGUCCGGAAGAGGUGAGUGGAAUUCCUAGUGUAGAGGUGAAAUUCGUAGAUAUUAGGAAGAACACCAGUGGCGAAGGCGGCUCACUGGUCCGGUACUGACGCUGAGGUGCGAAAGCGUGGGGAGCAAACAGGAUUAGAUACCCAAGUAGUCCCUGAGCGGGCUGGCAAGGCGCAU